rnacentral:pre_miRNA from 1 species
GUGUUAUCAAGAGUUCCCUUCAAGCACUUCACAUGAAGCUUCACAUUGGCAGAUGUAGUCUUGAGACCAAUGUGAAGUGUUUGGAGGAACUCUUGUUGCCAA